AUGUACAUUCCUACAACAUAGCGUUAAUGCACCGAAUCCCAUUAGAAUUCUGUGGUUAAGCAUGCUCGGGCUAGAGUAGUACUAGGAUGGGUGAUUGCCCGAGAAGUCCUAGUAUUUUACAUG
rnacentral:rRNA from 1 species